GGGUGUUGUUUUUCUGUUAAAAUUGAUUAAUGAGUGAAAGAAGACACAGGAAGGAGCCAAAAUCUUUUCUUUAAAGUAUUUUUAUAACACUUAAGGAGCAAACGUGUGUUGUGUUACGUGUGUUGUGCGUGUGCCGAUGCAUGAAAGUGGAUGCAUUCAUGGCCGUGUGUUUAAAUUAUUCCACAUAGAAGGAGCUACUUAAAGUUUUCAUUUUCUCCUGAGAGUAUAUUACGUGAGCUUACGGCUGGCGUCAGUUCCCAACUGUAACUGCAGCACUCGGAGAAAACAUCGGGAUCCGUAUACGACAAACACACCAGCAAAUUAGCGAUGUUAAUAUUGAAUUUUCCUGUCGAUAAGAUGUCUUCAUAUCCUUUCAUCAGAGAGACACGUGUUUAUUAGAAUCACCUUAAAGCCGGGUGUUUGGAUGGCGGUCGUCUGCAUGGCAAAUGUCCUUCCACGGCACCUCGCGGCGGUCAGGUCCUGCAUCUUGCAUGAACUGCAGCGUUGGGGGGGGGGGGGGGGGGGACACACGCUGGCGGAGAAUAUCAAGUAGCACCCUAACUCCCUUCCACGGCUGAGUGACACGGCACCACUGUGUAAACAAUUCCAACGAGCGGCAGAGGAGCUCUGCAGGAAGCCAGGGCGCCCUCCGCUGUCUGUUUAUUUUUCUAUACCAGCGCAUGCAGUGCUUGUUGUCUGUGAAUCUGUGCAGUGUGUCUCGCAGUUGCGGCCAGUUAAACACAAGCACCACGCUAGCUGCGUCAGUUACGUCUUUGGAGCAAAGCAAAUUUUCAAAAAAAAUAAAAAAAUAAUAAUAAAAAAAACCAAUAAAGAUGCCUAAACUCAUUUUCCUCAAAACCACAUUCGGGUUUGAUUUUUAUUUAAUUCAUUAUUUUUUGCCAUUGCAGUAUUUUUGAAGCCUUAUUUAUGAAGAAACGUUUCGGGCAGAAAGAUACGAGCAGGAGCUAGCUUCUUCCCCACCGGGCAUUUUCCCUCAGAAUUUCUUUAACAUCACAGCGACGUCACCAGAAAGCCGGAACAUAAAAGUGUGCGAUGAGAGGUGACAGAGUUGCACAAAGGGAAAGGGGAAGAUUACAGUCCGCUGUCGGGUAUGUGCUUGCACUGAGGGUAAUUGCUUCCCAAUGAAUGACAGAGAGAGACCACGAAAACCAAUUUCUUACAUACGACGAUUCUUAUAUAAACAAAGGAUGGAAUUGCACUCAAAACCUGAAGAAUCUUGACUGCUUAGAGAAUUUUGUGGUAGAGUCACAUUAGGAUUAUGGAUAUAACUUGGUAACAAACAUUUAGUCAGGGAUUUAUACUAUACUGCAUGGAAAUGGGAUGCAGAGAAUACAGAAAGGAGCAUCAACUCUCGCAUAAAAUCGGGACACGCAUGAUAUUCCAACUCUACAUUCUUUAACACGUGUAUAUAGAAUCAGUUCUAAUAAUUUUAUUUUGUAUAACAGUGACCAAGAUAUUUAAGAAAAAAAAUAUAUAUAGAUUAAAAAUAACAAAUUAAAUAGGCCUGAAACCUACAAAUAUUACUGCUCAGUAUCUGAGUUAAAAUGUGUUUCCGUUUUCGUUCUGCCAUUUCUUCCUUGCUCUAGGUAUGUGAACAUGCCAUAAAUAGUGAGAAAUCUGGUCAUUUCUGGUAGCGAAGGCAUCACAGAGGAUGUUGCCACAUAAGAACACAGAACAAAACAGCUUGCUUAAGAGAGACUCUUGCAAGAGUCGUUUGCUUUCUUCUAUUGUACAUUUGACUCUGUCCUUGAAGAAAAAUGAGAAUUCCGUAUUUGUCCGUUUCGGUGUUUGGUACCAUUCCACAUGUCAUCAGUGCAGUUACUGCUGAUUUCAGACUGCUGAAUUAGCUUGUCAAAUCUCUGUCAGCCUAUGUCAGUGGUACUUUAUCUGAACCCAAAGCCAGUUUUCACCUUUUCUACAUCACCACAGAUUCCAAUAAAUGUAUUUUUUCACCAUAAGAA